UAGUACGAGAGGACCGGAGUGGACGCAUCACUGGUGUUCGGGUUGUCAUGCCAAUGGCACUGCCCGGUAGCUAAAUGCGGAAGAGAUAAGUGCUGAAAGCAUCUAAGCACGAAACUUGCCCCGAGAUGAGUUCUCCCUGAGACUUUAGAUCUCCUGAAGGAACGUUGAAGACGACGACGUUGAUAGGCCGGGUGUGUAAGCGCAGCGAUGCGUUGAGCUAACCGGUACUAAUGAACCGUGAGGCUUAACCUUACAACGCCGAAG
rnacentral:rRNA from 1 species